GGUUUUGGUUUAAGUUAAGGUCAUAGGUUUUGCUUUAGGUUUAGGUUUAGGUUUUAGGUUUAAGUUAAGGUUAUAGGUUUAGGUUAGGUUUAGGUUUAGGUUUAGGUUAUAGGUUAUAGCUUUGGGAAUUGAGAAUAGGUUAAGGUUUAGGUUUAGGAAAUCGGGUUCGGGUUCGGGAUCAGGUUUAGGUUUGGGUUUUUAAGUUUAGGUUUAGGUUAGGGAGUUGAGAUUAGGAUUUGGUGUAGGUUUAGAUUUAGGGAUUUGAGAAUAGGUUAAGGUUUAGGUUUAGGAAAUCGGGUUCGGGUUCGGGAUCGGGUUUAGGCUUGGGUUUUCAAUUUUAGGUUUAGGUUUAGGUUAGGGGGUUAAG